rnacentral:rRNA from 1 species
GACGAACGCUGGCGGCGUGCUUAACACAUGCCAGUCGAACGGAAAGGCCCUGCUUUUGUGGGGUGCUCGAGUGGCGAACGGGUGAGUAACACGUGAGUAACCUGCCCUUGACUUUGGGAUAACUUCAGGAAACUGGGGCUAAUACCGGAUAGGAGCUCCUGCUGCAUGGUGGGGGUUGGAAAUUUUCGGCGGUUGGGGAUGGACUCGCGGCUUAUCAGCUUGUUGGUGGGGUGGUGGCUUACCAAGGCUUUGACGGGUAGCCGACCUGAGAGGGUGACCGGCCACAUUGGGACUGAGAGACGGCCCAGACUCCUACGGGAGGCAGCAGUGGGGAAUAUUGCACAAUGGGCGGAAGCCUGAUGCAGCAACGCCGCGUGCGGGAUGACGGCCUUCGGGUUGUAAACCGCUUUCGCCUGUGACGAAGCGUGAGUGACGGUAAUGGGUAAAGAAGCACCGGCUAACUACGUG